AUAAUUUGUUUUUGGACAAAGACUUACAGACAGGUGCAAAAAUAAAUCCUCUCUUACAACCCAGAGCUCCUUGUUAAGUAUCAGCUUUGAUACAUAUAAGAAGGAAUAGG
rnacentral:snoRNA from 1 species